rnacentral:tRNA from 1 species
GUGAGCUUAGCUCAAUUGGUAGGGACAUGCAUUGUUAUAUGCAGGGGUCGGGGUUCGAACCCCGGACACCCCACU